CCUACGGGAGGCAGCAGUGAGGAAUAUUGGUCAAUGGCCGCAGGGCUGAACCAGCCAAGUCGCGUGAGGGAUUACGGUCCUAUGGAUUGUAAACCUCUUUUGUCAGGGAGCAAAGUGCGCCACGUGUGGCGCUUUGCGAGUACCUUCAGAACAAGCAUCGGCUAACUCCGUGCCAGCAGCCGCGGUACUACGGAGGCUGCAAGCGUUAUCCGGAUUUAUUGGGUUUAACGGGUGCGCAGGCGGAAUGUCAAGUCAGCGGUAAAAUUUCGGGGCUCAACCCCGUCGUGCCGUUGAAACUGGCGUUCUUGAGUGAGCGAGAGGUAUGCGGAAUGCGUGGUGUAGCGGUGAAAUGCAUAGAUAUCACGCAGAACUCCGAUUGCGAAGGCAGCAUACCGGCGCUCAACUGACGCUCAUGCACGAAAGCGUGGGUAUCGAACAGGAUUAGAUACCCUGGUAGUC
rnacentral:rRNA from 1 species